rnacentral:rRNA from 1 species
UACGUAGGGGCAAGCGUUGUCCGGAAUUAUUGGGCGUAAAGAGCGUGUAGGCGGUCCGGUAAGUCAGCUGUGAAAGUCAAGGGCUCAACCCUUGAAAGCCGGUUGAUACUGUCGGGCUAGAGUCCGGAAGAGGCGAGUGGAAUUCCCGGUGUAGCGGUGAAAUGCGCAGAUAUCGGGAAGGAACACCAAUGGCGAAGGCAGCUCGCUGGGACGGUACUGACGCUGAGACGCGAAAGCGUGGGGAGCGAACAGG